CAGUGACUGAUCAAGGCUGGGGAGCAGUUCUUCUAGGCUGAUCUUUAUGGUCCACCGCUGCGCAUCCAUUAGCCUCUCCCCAUAACCAAGACCACACUCUCCAGGUUGGGCUUCUACCUGCACCAAACCACCCAAUCUUAGAGGCACUCACCUCCUGUGCAAGCUAGCUCAUCUCUAAAACAUGAAUCUCAGCAUCUCCAUCCUAUCCAGUCAUGCCCAUCGGCUUAGUGAUGAUCAUACCUCCUCCAAGCACAGUCCAGGAAGGGGGACCCUCAACAGUAUGACACGUGACAGUGAAUCGUGGCAACAACACAGCAGCCUCCAUGAAUCCAUCAGCAAAACCUGCAGCUGCACCUUCAGAAGGUAUCCAGCACCUGUCCACAUCACACAGCUCCACCGUUAACCACAGCAAAAGCCUCUGCUAAACAGCCCAAGAGAUCUUUUCAAAACUUUUCCCAUCCGUGAAAUGAUAAAGGCAAUGGGCAGAGAGAGAAGCAUCUUAUCACCUGCCAUCCUAACUCAUGGAC